GUCGAGCGAACAGAUAAGGAGCUUGCUCCUUUGACGUUAGCGGCGGACGGGUGAGUAACACGUGGAUAACCUACCUAUAAGACUGGGAUAACUUCGGGAAACCGGAGCUAAUACCGGAUAAGAUUUUGAACCGCAUGGUUCAAUAGUGAAAGACGGCCUUGCUGUCACUUAUAGAUGGAUCCGCGCCGUAUUAGCUAGUUGGUAAGGUAACGGCUUACCAAGGCAACGAUACGUAGCCGACCUGAGAGGGUGAUCGGCCACACUGGAACUGAGACACGGUCCAGACUCCUACGGGAGGCAGCAGUAGGGAAUCUUCCGCAAUGGGCGAAAGCCUGACGGAGCAACGCCGCGUGAGUGAUGAAGGUCUUCGGAUCGUAAAACUCUGUUAUCAGGGAAGAACAAACGUGUAAGUAACUGUGCACGUCUUGACGGUACCUGAUCAGAAAGCCACGGCUAACUACGUGCCAGCAGCCGCGGUAAUACGUAGGUGGCAAGCGUUAUCCGGAAUUAUUGGGCGUAAAGCGCGCGUAGGCGGUUUUUUAAGUCUGAUGUGAAAGCCCACGGCUCAACCGUGGAGGGUCAUUGGAAACUGGAAAACUUGAGUGCAGAAGAGGAAAGUGGAAUUCCAUGUGUAGCGGUGAAAUGCGCAGAGAUAUGGAGGAACACCAGUGGCGAAGGCGACUUUCUGGUCUGUAACUGACGCUGAUGUGCGAAAGCGUGGGGAUCAAACAGGAUUAGAUACCCUG
rnacentral:rRNA from 1 species